AACCCAAACUUUCCCUGGUUGCUACAACUCUUGUAUGUUAUGCGCGUUUGUCAUUAGGUUUUCUGUUUACGUAUAUGGGUUUGUUUGAAAAGUGAUGGUUUUUGUUAGUUUGAAUUGACAAGUUCGUGAAUUAUCGCCUUUUUUUCUUUUUCAUUGAAACGUUAGGCUGAGAACAAAUGUCCAUGUCUUGGUUGAUUGAUUGCACUUGGCUCAAUUUGUGAGGUACAUUUCUGUCUAAAUUUCUUUGUGUUAAUACGGGUGCGCUUUGUUGUGUGGCCGCUGGGUCGCAUGGAACACACUCACCUUCGGGUGGUAGAGACUGCUCCAUGGAUCACAGUGAACUACAUCGGUGGACAAACUCCAGUUUUUCACCUCUCUCACUGAGGUUAUGGGAUUGUAGCGUUUACUUCAAGAGUCUCUUGCAGCUGGUGCACAUGGCUCUUCAUUGUCCUCAAAUAGUAAGGGAGUAGAAGAAUUGUGGGUAACAAACAGUAAGUCAAACAGGCAAACAUCAUCAUUCUGUGUCUGACAGUGCACUUUCAUAUUUUGGAGCCCGACUGCUUCUUAGUUGAUGUCACCAGUUUGGAAAUUCAAAGUUGGAGAAUUAUGUUCCUCUUCAGUGCAAGGAUCAACCUCCAAUGCUACUUGGUUCCCAAUUUCCAUGCUCCACUGAGAGGCGACAUGCUGCCAGAGUGAUUGCAGCUUCCUCCAGCUUUGGAUCUCCAUCCUCACUUUCUGAGUUGUACCAUUGGAAAUCAACUGGCAGGCAGCGCUCCCCCAGUCCCUAUCGCAAUCACUCAAGUAGGCGUACUCAGUCAAAAGCUGCUUUCCCACCUAUGUUUCACAAUCCCAUGUUUGAUCACUGAUGGUGAAGCAUUUGAUGAGACUGAUGUCGACAGAGUUGAUGGGUUAACACCUGGCAUGGGUUGAGUAUCAGCUUCACAUUGGCCUGACAAUACUAUUAGUGAGCACAAGUUCCACAAAGCUGUCACUGAACUCCAGAAGUUGGAUACUUCACCAGAUCCUAGUGCUAGCUCAAGAGAGGGUUUCAGGUGGAGCAGUGGCAGCAGUUAUGAUCUCGGAUUUGAUGGAAGAGGAGAUGGUAGAGAGCCUGAGGUCCCCUAUUGACCCUGUGGCAGAUAAAAAUGUGGUUGAAAACAACUCCCAUCCCAUGCACAAGGAUCCCGCAAUGGUUGGUGUUUGUAGAAAUUUUUUGUGGCAGAAAUCCCUUUGGAGCCCACGUUGAAUGAUUUGAGGAGGUGAUAUGCCAACAGCUGGAGUGCUACGUUGCAGCCAUGGGUUUCAUGCAGAAUGUUUGAAGCAGGUAACCCCAAAAACCAAGAUCCGCAGCCUUUAUUGCCCACUGUGCCUGAAAAUUAUUGGACCUAUGGAAGAAUCUCCCUCUGUUUCACAGCCUUUGCAGAUGGCCCUUGAUUUGUCCAGAGGACAGAGAAGUUGUGAUAUCCGAGGCCCAGGAAGGAUGAGGUCGGAAAUCAUAUCAAAUACGGAUUAAGGCAAGACUGGUCUCGGGUAAUAAAGGCUUGUAAAACCAUAACCUUCCCCACUAGUUUCUCUAAACUUUCCCCUCUUGUUCUCCUCUCCUUGUUUCCAUUUUCUUUUUGUUAUUGGUAUGGGAUCUUGAGUGAUUAAGAAGGUUAUGAAAGCUUGUUGUUAACACAACUACAUAGCUAGUACUUAAUACACUUGUAUGUAGUUGUGUUAACGACAAGCUUUGAUAACCUUCUUAAUCAACUCAAGCUCCGAUACCAAUAACAAAAAGAAAAUGGAAGCAAGGGGAGAAGAGAGCAGGAGAGAAAAGUGUAUAUAAUGUAGUAGUGGGGAAUGACAGUAGGUUCAUUAAAGAAUCACCUAAAAAGUCAUUUUUCAUACAAGGGAAAAACAAGUAAAGAUAUUCUUAGUGCGAAGGUGCUGUGCAGGGAUGGGCCAUCAUCGUCUCCAAGCAGGGAAAUUGUUCGACACUGAGUAUCCAUCUGAUGGUAUUCUAUAUGUAAUUCGCUUGUAAGGAAAUUUCAGGACUUAGAUGAUUGGUAUUUUUCUAAUGAAUUUUCUUGGGCUCAAUUUUUUGAAGUUACAGUAAAGAGCCCCUGUAUGUUACUUUGUUCAUUGUGUAAUGCGACACCACGUCUUAACCAGAUUGUCGUUGGCCAUUAAUGGUGUUUGUGGCAUGAGA